UACGUAGGGUGCGAGCGUUGUCCGGAAUUAUUGGGCGUAAAGAGCUCGUAGGCGGCUUGUCGCGUCGACUGUGAAAACCCGUGGCUCAACCAUGUGGUCUGCAGUCGAUACGGGCAGGCUAGAAUUCGGUAGGGGAGACUGGAAUUCCUGGUGUAGCGGUGAAAUGCGCAGAUAUCAGGAGGAACACCGGUGGCGAAGGCGGGUCUCUGGGCCGAUACUGACGCUGAGGAGCGAAAGCGUGGGGAGCGAACAGG
rnacentral:rRNA from 1 species